UGAACGCUAGCGGUGUGUUAACACAUGCAAGUCGAGCGCAUCUUCNGGAUGAGCGGCAGACGAGAGAGUAACACGUUGGUACCUACCCCAUACUCAGGGAUAACCCUCCGAAAGGAGGGCUAAUACCGGAUGGUCCCGCAAGGGUAAAGCUUUUGCGGUAUGGGAGGGGCCUGCGGCCUAUCAGCUAGUUGGUAAGGUAAAGGCUUACCAAGGCGAUGACGGGUAGUUGAUGUGAGAGCAUGAUCAGCCUCGAUGGGACUGCGACACGGCCCAUACUCCUACGGGAGGCAGCAGUGAAGAAUCUUCCGCAAUGGACGAAAGUCUGACGGAGCAACACCGCGUGAAGGACGAAGGCCCUCGGGUCGUAAACUUCUUUUCUGAGGGAAUAAGUUCUGAAGGUACCUCAGGAAUAAGGCGCUGCUAACUACGUGCCAGCAGCAGCGGUAAUACGUAGGCGCCAAGCGUUAUCCGGAAUUACUGGGCGUAAAGCGUCCGUAGGCGGCUAAAUUAGUCGGGUGUUAAAUUUUCGUGCCUAACGCGAAAAACGUACUCGAAACUGCUUAGCUACGAGUCUGAAAGAGGUCACUGGAAUUCCUACUGAGGGGUAAAAUCCGUAGAUAGUAGGAGGAACACCAAAAGCGAAGGCAGGUGGCUGGUUCAGUACUGACGCUCAGGGACGAAAGCGUGGGGAGCAAACAGGAUUAGAUACCCUGGUAGUCCACGCCGUAAACGAUGAGUGCUAGGCGUUGAAGAGUUGUUUCGAUCCUCUUCAGUGUCCAAAGUUAACACGUUAAGCACUCCGCCUGGGGAGUACGGCCGCAAGGCUAAAACUCAAAGGAAUAGACGGGGGCCCGCACAAGCGGUGGAGCAUGGGGUUUAAUUCGAUAAUAAGCGAGGAACCUCACCUAGGCUUGACAUCUCGAGAAAGCUCUGGAAACAGAGCCGUGCCUUUUGGAACUCGAUGACAGGCGCUGCAUGGUUGUCGUCAGCUCGUGCCCUGAGGUGUUCGGUUAAGUCCGUAAACGAGCGCAACCCUCGUCGUGUGUUGUAUUUUUCACGCGAGACUGCCGGCCCUAAGCCGGAGGAAGGCGAGGAUGACGUCAAAUCAGCAUGGCCCUUAUGCCUAGGGCGACACCCGUGCUACAAUGGGGAGUACAAAGGGUAGCGAAAGCGCAAGCUGGAGCCAAUCCUAAAAACUUCCCCCAGUUCGGAUUGAGGGCUGCAAUUCGCCCUCAUGAAGUUGGAAUCGCUAGUAACCGUGGAUCAGCCAUGUCACGGUGAAUAUGUUCCCGGGCCUUGUACUCACCGCCCGUCACGUCAUGGAAGAUGGGAGCACCCAAAGC
rnacentral:rRNA from 1 species